rnacentral:rRNA from 1 species
GCGGACGGGUGAGUAAUGUCUGGGAAACUGCCUGAUGGAGGGGGAUAACUACUGGAAACGGUAGCUAAUACCGCAUAACGUCGCAAGACCAAAGUGGGGGACCUUCGGGCCUCAUGCCAUCAGAUGUGCCCAGAUGGGAUUAGCUGGUAGGUGGGGUAACGGCUCACCUAGGCGACGAUCCCUAGCUGGUCUGAGAGGAUGACCAGCCACACUGGAACUGAGACACGGUCCAGACUCCUACGGGAGGCAGCAGUGGGGAAUAUUGCACAAUGGGCGCAAGCCUGAUGCAGCCAUGCCGCGUGUGUGAAGAAGGCCUUCGGGUUGUAAAGCACUUUCAGCGGGGAGGAAGGCGGUGAGGUUAAUAACCUCGCCGAUUGACGUUACCCGCAGAAGAAGCACCGGCUAACUCCGUGCCAGCAGCCGCGGUAAUACGGAGGGUGCAAGCGUUAAUCGGAAUUACUGGGCGUAAAGCGCACGCAGGCGGUCUGUCAAGUCGGAUGUGAAAUCCCCGGGCUCAACCUGGGAACUGCAUUCGAAACUGGCAGGCUAGAGUCUUGU